AUUGAACGCUGGCGGUAUGCUUAACACAUGCAAGUCGAACGAGUGGCGGACGGGUGAGUAAUGCAUAGGAAUCUACCUUUUAGUCUAGGAUAACUACCCCAAAGGGUGUCUAAUACUGGCUGCUAAGAGAUGAGCCUAUGUGGGAUUAGCUAGUUGGUGGGGUAAUGACUCAACACGGCGACGAUCUCUAGCUGGUUUGAGGGGAUGAACCGAGAAAUGGGGACAGAGACACGGCCCAGAAUCCUACGGGAGGCAGCAGUGGGGAAUAUUGGACAAUGGGCGAAAGCCUGAUCGAGCAAUUCCGAGUGUGUGAAGAAGGCCAUAGGGUUGUAAAGCACGUUUGUGAGGGAGAUGUUACCUAAAGAAUAAGCACCGGCUAACUCCGUGCCAGCAGCCGCGGUAAUAC
rnacentral:rRNA from 1 species